AGUAAAUAGAUACCCGGGUAGUCCCAGCUGUAAACGAUGCGCGUUAGGUGUAUCGGUGACCACGAGUCACCGAGGUGCCGAAAGAGAAAUCGUGAAACGUGCCGCCUGGGAAGUACGGUCGCAAGGCUGAAACUUAAAGGAAUUGGCGGGGGAGCACCACAACAGGUGGAGCCUGCGGUUUAAUCGGACUCAACGCCGGGAAGCUCACCGGAUAAGACAGCUGAAUGAUAGCCGGGUUGAAGACUCUGCUUGACUAGCUGAGAGGAGGUGCAUGGCCGUCGUCAGUUCGUACUGUGAAGCAUCCUGUUAAGUCAGGCAACGAGCGAGACCCACGCCAACAGUUGCCAGCAUGUCCUCCGGGAUGGUGGGGACACUGUUGGGACCGCCUCUGCUAAAGAGGAGGAAGGAAUGGGCAACGGUAGGUCAGCAUGCCCCGAAUUAUCCGGGCUACACGCGGGCUACAAUGGUCAGGACAAUGGGUAUCAACACCGAAAGGUGAAGGCAAUCUCCUAAACCUGUCCUUAGUUCGGAUUGUGGG
rnacentral:rRNA from 1 species